rnacentral:rRNA from 1 species
GAACCUUCGGGUUAGUGGCGGACGGGUGAGUAACGCGUGAGAAUCUGCCCUCAGGAGGGGGAUAACGGCUGGAAACGGCCGCUAAUACCCCAUAUGCCGAGAGGUGAAAUGAAAUUCGCCUGAGGAUGAGCUCGCGUCUGAUUAGCUAGUUGGUAGGGUAAAGGCCUACCAAGGCGACGAUCAGUAGCUGGUCUGAGAGGAUGAUCAGCCACACUGGGACUGAGACACGGCCCAGACUCCUACGGGAGGCAGCAGUGGGGAAUUUUCCGCAAUGGGCGAAAGCCUGACGGAGCAACGCCGCGUGAGGGAUGAAGGCCUCUGGGCUGUAAACCUCUUUUAUCAAGGAAGAAGAUCUGACGGUACUUGAUGAAUAAGCCACGGCUAAUUCCGUGCCAGCAGCCGCGGUAAUACGGGAGUGGCAAGCGUUAUCCGGAAUUAUUGGGCGUAAAGCGUCCGCAGGCGGUCUUACAAGUCUGUCGUAAAGCGUGGAGCCUAACUCCAUUUCAGCGAUGGAAACUGUAAGACUAGAGUGUGGUAGGGGCAGAGGGAAUUCCCGGUGUAGCGGUGAAAUGCGUAGAUAUCGGGAAGAACACCAGUGGCGAAGGCGCUCUGCUGGGCCAUAACUGACGCUCAUGGACGAAAGCCAGGGGAGCGAAAGGGAUUAGAUACCCCUGUAGUCCUGGCCGUAAACGAUGAACACUAGGUGUCGGGGGAAUCGACCCCCUCGGUGUCGUAGCCAACGCGUUAAGUGUUCCGCCUGGGGAGUACGCACGCAAGUGUGAAACUCAAAGGAAUUGACGGGGGCCCGCACAAGCGGUGGAGUAUGUGGUUUAAUUCGAUGCAACGCGAAGAACCUUACCAGGGUUUGACAUCCUGCGAAUCCCUUGGAAACGAGGGAGUGCCUUCGGGAACGCAGUGACAGGUGGUGCAUGGCUGUCGUCAGCUCGUGUCGUGAGAUGUUGGGUUAAGUCCCGCAACGAGCGCAACCCACGUCUUUAGUUGCCAGCAUUUAGUUGGGCACUCUAGAGAGACUGCCGGUGAUAAACCGGAGGAAGGUGUGGAUGACGUCAAGUCAUCAUGCCCCUUACAUCCUGGGCUACACACGUACUACAAUGCUACGGACAAAGGGCAGCAAACUCGCGAGAGCUAGCCAAUCCCAUAAACCGUGGCUCAGUUCAGAUCGUAGGCUGCAACUCGCCUACGUGAAGGAGGAAUCGCUAGUAAUCGCAGGUCAGCAUACUGCGGUGAAUACGUUCCCGGGCCUUGUACACACCGCCCGUCACACCAUGGAAGUUGGCCACGCCCGAAGUCGUUACUCCAACCCUUGUGGAGGAGGAUGCCGAAGGUGGGGCUGAUGACUGGGGUGAAGUCGUAACAAGGUAGCCGUACCGGAAGGUGC